rnacentral:rRNA from 1 species
GACGAAGGGGGCUAGCGUUGUUCGGAAUUACUGGGCGUAAAGCGUGCGCAGGCGGCUUUGCAAGACAGAUGUGAAAUCCCCGGGCUUAACCUGGGAACUGCAUUUGUGACUGCAUGGCUGGAGUGCGGCAGAGGGGGAUGGAGUUCCGCGUGUAGCAGUGAAAUGCGUAGAUAUGCGGAGGAACACCGAUGGCGAAGGCAAUCCCCUGGGCCUGCACUGACGCUCAUGCACGAAAGCGUGGGGAGCAAACAGG